GGAAAGAUGGCUCAGUGAUUGAGAGCACUGGCUGCUCUUCCAGAGGACGUGGGUUCAAUUCCCAGCCCUAUAUG
rfam:Mesocricetus auratus contig178275, whole genome shotgun sequence.